rnacentral:lncRNA from 1 species
ACAACAAGGGAAUCAACAGGCGUAUUCGGGCGUAUUCGGCUUGAGACGUGGCCUGCAAGACCCCGUCAGAACAGAAGAGCAAGAGAAACCAAGGAGAAGAGACCAAGAAGAAUGAGAAGAGAUGAAGGUGAAGAGACAGAACCUUCUGAGCUACUCCUUCCCUGCUAAAUCCCAGGCACAUGCUCCAGAUUCCUUAGGCAAAGGAAG